GGAGAGAUGGCUCAGUGGUUAAGAGCACUGGCUGCUCUUCCAGAGGACCUGGGUUCAACUCCCACUCCG
rnacentral:tRNA from 1 species